rnacentral:rRNA from 1 species
UACGUAGGGGGCAAGCGUUGUCCGGAUUUACUGGGCGUAAAGAGCGUGUAGGCGGCCAAGCAGGUCCGUUGUGAAAACUGGAGGCUUAACCUCCAGACGUCGACGGAAACCGCGUGGCUAGAGUCCGGAAGAGGAGAGUGGAAUUCCUGGUGUAGCGGCGAAAUGCGCAGAUAUCAGGAAGAACACCAAUGGCGAAGGCAGCUCUCUGGGACGGUACUGACGCUGAGACGCGAAAGCGUGGGGAGCGAACAGG